GAUAAAUAUAAUCAAGGUUAUAUUUACAUGACUUGAAAAUUAAAUUCAAGAGAGUUUCAUUCUUUCAUCAUUAAUUUGAUGUAAAUACAUAAACAUUG
rnacentral:ncRNA from 1 species